rnacentral:rRNA from 1 species
GAUGAACGCUAGCGGCAGGCAUAAUACAUGCAAGUUGAACGAAGCCUUCGGGCUUAGUGGCGGACGGGUGAGUAACACGUAGGAACCUGCCCAGGAGUGGGGGACAACCCCGCGAAAGCGGGGCUAAUACCGCAUACGGUCUACGGACCAAAGCCUUCGGGCGCUCCUGGAGGGGCCUGCGGCGGAUUAGCUUGUUGGUGGGGUAACGGCCUACCAAGGCGACGAUCCGUAGCUGGUCUGAGAGGAUGACCAGCCACACUGGGACUGAGACACGGCCCAGACUCCUACGGGAGGCAGCAGCGAGGAAUUUUCCGCAAUGGGCGCAAGCCUGACGGAGCAACGCCGCGUGGGGGAAGAAGGCCCUCGGGUUGUAAACCCCUGUUGCGAGGGAAGAAGAUCUGACGGUACCUCGCGAGGAAGCCACGGCUAACUACGUGCCAGCAGCCGCGGUAAUACGUAGGUGGCAAGCGUUGUCCGGAUUUACUGGGCGUAAAGCGCGCGCAGGCGGGUUGGUC